GCGGACGUGGCUCAGUGGUAGAGCAUCACCUUGCCAAGGUGAGGGUCGCGGGUUCAAAUCCCGUCGUCCGCUCAA
rnacentral:tRNA from 2 species